CCCUUAGAUGUCCUGGGCCGCACGCGUGCUACACUGAUGCAUCCAGCGAGUACUUUCCAGCUCCGCGAGGCAGCUGGUAAUCAGCAAUAUGCAUCGUGCUGGGGAUAGAUCUUUGGAAUUAUAGAUCUUGAACGAGGAAUUCCUAGUAAGCGCAAGUCAUUAGCUUGCGCUGAUUAAGUCCCUGCCCUUUGUACACACCGCCCGUCGCUCCUACCGAUUUCGAGUGAUUCGGUGAACCUUUUGGACAGCGUCUGUCCUCGUGUCAGAUGCUGAAAGUCAAGUAAACCAUAUCACUUAGAGGAAGGAGAAGUCGUAACA
rnacentral:rRNA from 1 species